rnacentral:lncRNA from 1 species
CCUGCGGCAUAUGGAGGUUCCCAGGCUAAGGGUCUAAUCGGAGCUGUAGCGCCAGCCUACACCACAGCCAUAGCAACGCGGGAUCCGAGCUGCGUCUGUGACCUACACCACAGCUCAAGGCAACGCCAGAUCAUUAACCCACUGAGUAAGGCCAGGGAUAGAACCCACAACCCCAUGGUUCCUAGUUGGAUCCGUCAACCACUGAGCCACGACGGGGAACUCCUGGAGAGCCAUUGUUAAGACUGUAAUUUAGAAUUAGUUAUCACUGUUUUUUCAGAGAUGAAAUUCUUUUUUUAUUUUAUUUUAUUUUAUUUUUUGUCUUUUUGCCAUUUCUUGGGCCGCUCCCGCGGCACAUGGAGGUUCCCAGGCUAGGGGUCCAAUCAGAGCUGUAGCCGCCAGCCUACACCAGAGCCACAGCAACGCAGGAUCCGAGCCGCAUCUGCAACCUACACCACAGCUCACGGCAACGCCGGAUCGUUAACCCACUGAGCAAGGGCAGGGACCGAACCCGCAACCUCAUGGUUCCUAGUCGGAUUCGUUAACCACUGCGCCAUGACGGGAACUCCUAUUUUUAAAUUUUAAUUUUAUUGGAGAAUAGGUGAUUUACAAUGUAUUAGAUUCUCUGUAUUAGUUUAAAGUGUACAGCAAAGUGAAUCAGUCAUAAAUAUAAAUACAACCAUUCUUGGAGUUCCUGUUGUGGUGCAGUGGAAACAAAUCUGACUAGAAACCAUGAGGUUGUGGGUUGGAUCCCUGGCCUCGCUCAGUGGGUUAAUGAUCCAUCAGUUGCCAUGAGCUGCGGUAUAGGUCGCAUACACGGCUUGGAUCUGGCAUUGCUGUGGCUGUGGUGUAGAUCGGCAGCUACAGCUCUGAUUGGACCCCUAGUCUUGGAACCUCCAUAUACCAUGGGUGCAACCCUAAAGAGGACAAAAAGUAAAAAAAAUAAACAACCAUUCUUUUUUCCAUUUAAGUUAUUACAAACUAUUGAAUAGAUUUUCCAGUGCUAUACAGUAGGUUCUCAUUAAUCAUCUAUUUGUACAGUAGUAUGUAUGUGUUAUUUCCACCCUUCUAAUUCUUCCCUUCUCCCAAAUUGUCUCACCUAUGAUAACCAUAAGAUUAGUUUUGAGAUCUGUGAAUUUGUUUCUGUUUUUUAAAAUAAAUUCUUUUGUAUUAUUUUAUUAGAUUCCACAUAUAAAUGAUAUAUGAUAUUUGUCUUUCUUUGACCUACUUCACUUCUAUGAUAAUAUUUAGGUCCAUUCAUGUUGCUGCAAAUGGCUACAGGAAGGACUCACAUUCAACCUGUUAUAUUUGAUUUAAGAGGAGCACAUCGCAUCUGUAAGGAAAAAUACUUACUGACCCCAUCUUGCUAAACUUGGCCAUUACAGAGUUCAUAUGAGAGUCCCAUGUCUUUACCUUUCCAAUUCCAUCCCAUAUAAGUGAGAAUGGUUGAGUGAGCAAGCACUAUCAAGACUGCUAUUCCAGAAAUAAGGGUCAGCUAAUGUACUUACUUGGAGGCAAAGAUAUUUGAUUUAAAAUAAAUGAUAGUUGAAAGGUAAAGUAAUUGCAACUGCUAAGUUUUUUAGUAUUUUGUUAUGUAGCAAUUUGCAGCCAUUCAACAAAUAAUACACCAUCCCAUGGUGGAUUAAAAUGUAGGGGAAGAUCUAGUAAGAGACUCACAGUUUUUACUUCCAGGGAUCUGGAAGAAGAUUAUGCUUUAGCAGAUGGCAGAGAUUUCCCCAUCAUUUGAGAAGCAGGUCCUUGCGUUGUGUUGGAUCCUAGAAAAGACCAAGUUUCAUGGGGCACCAGACAAGUUACUAUAAACUGAGAUUCCCAUCAUGACCUAAAUAGUAUUGGACCCAUGAACAAAGAUUGGAUGGGCACAGCAGCAAGAAUUAUACCUACCUUACCUGAGCCUGGGCCUGGGCAGAUCCAGAAGGCACAAAUAAAUUCCUUGAAUCGGUACCUUAGCCUCCCAUGAUACCCACCAUUAUUGAACAAGUCCUUCUUCCUCAACUCAUACCAUGCCUCACAGAAGGUUUCCCAAGGCCAACUGAUAGAAUUGAGAGAAUCUGGACCUGGUUUGCAAAUGGAUUUAUACAAAUAUUCUAGCUGUAAUCUGAAUAUUUCAGAACCAUAGCCCUACUCAAGGAUGUCCUGAAAGUCAGUGGUGGAAGACAUCCACCAAAUGGGUAAGUCUAUGAGGGAUACACUUGGCAUCUCCUUUAUGUGGUUAGAGAAAUAACUUAUGGUAAGCUUGAAAAUAAAAUGCUGACCAGUGGCCUGCAGCUUGGAAGGAGCAAGAUCCAGGAUUAGGAGAUGUGAGAAAGCAUUAUGAAGAUAGAUUUUUUUGGGGGGAAUGGACACAAAGUGUGAGGAAUUUGUAUUAAUAUCAGUACCCACAGAAAAGAUCCACUAGAGAGAAGACAGUCAACAGGGUGACUAAUAAAAUAGGUUUCACUUAGUCU